AUAACUGGCUUGUGGCGGCCAAGUGAUCAUAGCGACGUCGCUUUUUGAACCUUCGAUGUCGGCUCCUCUUCCUAUCAUUGUGAAGCAGAGUUCACCUAGAGUUUGAUUCUUCAUCCUCUAAUAGGGUACGUGAGCUGGGUUUAGACCAUCGUGAGACAAGUU
rnacentral:ncRNA from 1 species